GACGAACGCUGGCGGCGUGCCUAAUACAUGCAAGUCGAGCGGACGAUUCGAAAGCUUGCUUUUGAAUCGUUAGCGGCGGACGGGUGAGUAACACGUGGGCAACCUGCCCUGUAGACGGGGAUAACACCGAGAAAUCGGUGCUAAUACCGGAUAACACGAAAUGUCGCAUGACGUUUCGUUGAAAGGCGGCGCAAGCUGCCGCUACAGGAUGGGCCCGCGGCGCAUUAGCUAGUUGGUGAGGUAACGGCUCACCAAGGCGACGAUGCGUAGCCGACCAGAGAGGGUGAUCGGCCACACUGGGACUGAGACACGGCCCAGACUCCUACGGGAGGCAGCAGUAGGGAAUCUUCCGCAAUGGACGAAAGUCUGACGGAGCAACGCCGCGUGAGCGAAGAAGGCCUUCGGGUCGUAAAGCUCUGUUGUUAGGGAAGAACAAGUAACGUAGUAACUGACGUUACUAUGACGGUACCUAACGAGAAAGCCACGGCUAACUACGUG
rnacentral:rRNA from 1 species